CACACGACUCUCGGCAAUGGAUAUCUCGGCUCUCGCAUCGAUGAAGAACGUAGCGAAAUGCGAUACCUGGUGUGAAUUGCAGAAUCCCGCGAACCAUCGAGUCUUUGAACGCAAGUUGCGCCCGAGGCCACUCGGCCGAGGGCACGCCUGCCUGGGCGUCACGC
rnacentral:rRNA from 2 species